UAAAGAAAGUCAUAGUGGCUAUGUGGUUGGCUUGAAAUCAGUUAUAGGGGGUUCGAUUCCCUCCUUUCUUAA
rnacentral:tRNA from 1 species